UACGGGGGGAGCAAGCGUUGUUCGGAUUUACUGGGCGUAAAGGGCGCGUAGGCGGUCAGCACAAGUCAGUUGUGAAAUCUCCGAGCUUAACUCGGAAAGGUCAACUGAUACUGUGCGACUAGAGUGCGGAAGGGGCAACUGGAAUUCUUGGUGUAGCGGUGAAAUGCGUAGAUAUCAAGAGGAACACCUGCGGCGAAGGCGGGUUGCUGGGCCGACACUGACGCUGAGGCGCGAAAGCGUGGGGAGCAGACAGG
rnacentral:rRNA from 1 species